UAGGGAAUCUUCCACAAUGGAUGAAAGUCUGAUGGAGCAACGCCGCGUGAGUGAAGAAGGGUUUCGGCUCGUAAAACUCUGUUGUUAAAGAAGAACAUAUCUGAGAGUAACUGUUCAGGUAUUGACGCUAUUUAACCAGAAAGCCACGGCUAACUACGUGUCAG
rnacentral:rRNA from 1 species